rnacentral:tRNA from 1 species
GGAUUGUGGCUCAGUGGUACAGCACUUGCCUAGCAUGCAUGAGGCACUGGGUUCAAUCCUCAGCACCG